rnacentral:tRNA from 1 species
GUCCAGGAUAGCCUAGUGGACAUGGCACCUGCCCGGUAAGCAGAAGGUUGUGGGUUCGAUUCCCGUCCUGGACA